AUUGAACGCUGGCGGAAUGCUUUACACAUGCAAGUCGAACGGCAGCACGGGGCAACCUGGUGGCGAGUGGCGAACGGGUGAGUAAUACAUCGGAUCGUGCCCAAUCGUGGGGGAUAACGUAGCGAAAGUUACGCUAAUACCGCAUACGAUCUACGGAUGAAAGCGGGGGAUCGCAAGACCUCGCGCGAGUGGAGCGGCCGAUGUCAGAUUAGGUAGUUGGUGGGGUAAAGGCUCACCAAGCCAACGAUCUGUAGCUGGUCUGAGAGGACGACCAACCACACUGGAACUGAGACACGGUCCAGACUCCUACGGGAGGCAGCAGUGGGGAAUUUGGGACAAUGGGCGCAAGCCUGAUCCAGCCAUUCCGCGUGCAGGAUGAAGGCCUUCGGUUGUAAACUAGCUUUUGUACGGUAACGAAACGGCGAGCUCUAAUACAGUUUGCUAAUG
rnacentral:rRNA from 1 species